UAGGGAAUCUUCGGCAAUGGACGAAAGUCUGACCGAGCAACGCCGCGUGAGUGAAGAAGGUUUUCGGAUCGUAAAACUCUGUUGUUAGAGAAGAACAAGGACGUUAGUAACUGAACGUCCCCUGACGGUAUCUAACCAGAAAGCUACGGCUAACUAAGUGCCAGCAGCCGCGGUAAUACGUAGGUGGCAAGCGUUGUCCGGAUUUAUUGGGCGUAAAGCGAGCGCAGGGGGUUUCUUAAGUCUGAUGUGAAAGCCCCCGGCUCAACCGGGGAGGGUCAUUGGAGACUGGGAGGCUUGAGUGCAGAAGAGGAGAGUGGAAUUCCAUGUGUAGCAGUGAAAUGCGUAGAUAUAUGAAGGAACACCAGUGGCGAAGGCGGCUCUCUGGUCUGUAACUGACGCUGAGGCUCGAAAGCGUGGGGAGCAAACAGG
rnacentral:rRNA from 1 species